rnacentral:rRNA from 1 species
UACGAGGGGUGCAAGCGUUGCUCGGAAUUAUUGGGCGUAAAGGGUGCGUAGGCGGUCUGACAAGUCUGAUGUGAAAUCUAUGGGCUCAACCCAUAGUCUGCAUCGGAAACUGUCGGGCUUGAGUAUGGGAGAGGUGAGUGGAAUUUCCGGCGUAGCGGUGAAAUGCGUAGAUAUCGGAAGGAACGACCUGUGGCGAAAGCGGCUCACUGGACCAUUACUGACGCUGAGGCACGAAAGCUAGGGGAGCAAACAGG